rnacentral:tRNA from 1 species
GCUGGCGUAGCUCAGCGGCUUGAGCACCUCGUUGUCAGCGAGGCGGCCGCGGGUUCGAGUCCCGCCGUCAGCGCCA